AUGUGUCAUUUCCUUCUUGGCCAUGUUCCCAGCUCCUGACAGUCAGUCAAAAAGAAAAAAAAGGAGCCGGAGGGGCGGGGGGGUGAGAGACUGAAAGAGAUUUAAAAGUACUCGUCUCAGGAACACGUUCCGCAGCCACCAGACAGAACCUCCACCCGAGCUUCUGACUGCCCCUUCUCCGUCAUUCCAGAAAAAAGGGGAAAGGGGAACUGUGGGUGUUUUAGCUGCUACUAUGAAAUCAAAGAUUUUCAACAAUGUGUUAUAUACGUGACCAAAUGAUUAAUAUCUAUGACCAUCAAACUGCUGCUUGUGUCUGCUCUCUUGUAACUAUCAAAGCGUGGCAUUUGCCCAAACUUCUACUCCCUGGCCACUUCAGAGACAGGGAAUAAUUCAAGGGAAAUAUGGAAAAAGUCAGGGGAAAGUUGAGAAGUGUAGGGCUUCACUGCUAACGCUUUACAUGAAGGACUAAAACUCAGGCCUGGGUCAUGGGGAGCAUGGCACAAGGCCUAGCAAGGUUUUCUCAAAUUCUUUUGCUAGACAGCAGGAAUGUGAAUGCAAGAACUGUAUCCAGAACUAUCAAAUAACUGUCAAUAAUUCUCCUGUUGUCCCUGUGCCCAACACAUCUUACAGGUUCCCCGUGUUCUUAUACAUGGGGGCAACCUCUGCUUAAGCAUUCACGACUGGUAAACAAGCAGAGAUCAGCCAGCUAGCACAAAAGCCUGUUCUUUUACCCAGCCAGGGUGAAAAGGCAUGGAGGUUAGCUGCCCUGACAUCAUCGGGAACAAGGAAGAGAAAAUGCCAAGCCCUCUUUCUCUCCACCCAUCACAAGGCUGGAGAAGUCUCAGAACUACAUGGAACAGCAGGAGAAAUAAAGAAAAUGCUGCUUUGGCCAGACCACCUAUGCUGUUAAGUCUGCCACCUCCCAUUUGUUAAGUGUGGACCUGCCUCGGCUUCAUAUUGAUCUGCUAAUACCAAGCACCACAAGGUAAUGCCCACCCUUAAUUCAUCUGAUACUUGCAGAUUUGGUCAAUUCAGAAUGAAGCUACUAUAAUUGAAACUUGCACCCACUUUGCAGAACUUUACAUGUUCCCGAUUUAAAAGGUCAAAAGGACUUUCAGAAGUUGGUACCUUGAAAAACAUAUUUCUUCUGUUGCCACGAUGAUGCUUGCCAGCUAAGUCCUCGUGGAAGUGGUGAUUCAAGUGGUCCCCGGAACCACUCCCCCAUCUCUCACACCUUGGCAUGGUCACACCCUCUGAAUCUGAGUUUCUGCUAUAUCUUAUUUUAACCAACUCUGCGUCAGCUCUAAGCCUAGGCCUUCAAAACCCAACAGCUGCCAUUUCUGCACACAGGGAGGCCUAAGAUGUCAUGUAGGAAGCCAGGCUGCACUGGAAAGUCCCAGAGAGGUGACAUAGAGAAGAUUUGUGGAGAGAAAGAGGCCGUGGGACUCCACAAAAUGGGACUGAGUGGCAGCUGUCCCUCCAUCCACUCUCCAAGCCACCCUGCCAAGCAGUGGACAAUCAGCCAUAUCUGACUGCAGCCACACAACAGCUCCCAAGCAUAACCAGCAGCAAAACCAUCCAAGGUAGCCCCAUGGAACUGUGAGGAGUAAAAAGCUAGUUAUUGUUUUAAGCCAUUAUGUUUCACAGUCUUUAUUACUUAGCAAUAGAUAACUGAGAGUGCAGAAAGAGAGUGAGGGGCAUUCUGACUCUGUAAAGUGAUUUACUUUUCCCAUUCUGCACAGAGCCCAAAAUCCAUCAAUCCUCUUCCCCAACUCAAAGCCAUCCUACAGAACAUGACAAUGCUAAGCAAGAUUUCCCCUCCCACAGAAAUUUUCUAAAUCAGGUGAGGGUUGGAACCAAGGGCACAAAGGAAACAGAGGAUGCUAACAGGAUCUGAUGUUAAAAAGGGGGAAGAAUCAAAGGCAUUACCCCUGCAGCCACCACUGUGCUGACUUCUCCUGCUGGCGGACAGAUGCAGCUGACUUGCCAACAGAAGGUCAAGAUGCCUCGCCUACAUACAAGACUUACAAAUUUGGGAUCUUAAGCAUGAUGUCAUGUCUUAAAAUGAUAAGCUGGCAAAAGAAAUAAAUAGCACUCUGCAAAGAUGUGCACCAUUUCCAUGUUUACGCUGCUUAAGAUGAAGGUUCUAAUAAGUCAUCUGCGAUGUUCCUUUAAAGGGAAGUUUUAUAACUGAGAUGAAUCACGACUGCAAAAGAUCAAAGUUAAAAAACAUCGAUGAUGCCAUGGGGUGCUUUUUAAUCUUGUAAUGAGUGAUGAUCAUGUGCUCUUAUGAAGUUAGUCCAACUGCCAACGCCAGAUGUGUAUAUUAAGAAAAGAAGUUGUUUGUGAUGUGACAGCACUGAUUCAGCUGCCAGAGACAGAAAACACAGGAGGAUAAAACCUUUCGGGUUUCUGAGAGCAAGGCAAGUUGUGGCAGAUGGUUGACAAGCAGGGCCUCGAGUGGGGUACUAAAGUCAUAGCAUCCUGUUUUGGGUUUGCUAUAUACAAAUAAUGUUAAUCAGCAGUUCUGCACAGCUCUCCCCAGGCAGUGUGAGUAUCUAUAGCUCAAGGCAUAAGUCAUAACACUUAUUAGUGCCAUUUACUAUAGAGCAAAAAUCAGCAAAGCUAUCUGCAAGGGAAAAAAAGAACAAACUCUAGAUGGUUAUCAGUUUCCUGGAAGUAUACUACAAGCGAAACGCUACAGCAAAUUUCUGACACUAAAGCGAUUGAUGCAAUCAAAGCUAACAUUUAGUGAGUGCUUACUACAUGGCAGUCACUGUGCUAGCCAUUUUAGAUAUGCUACACUGUGACACUUUUGCAGCAACUGAUGAGGAAGAUGCUAUUUUUAUUAUUCUUUCUUUAAAAGAUGAGAAAACCAAGGUAAAGAGAUGUUAGGGAACUUGUGUGCCUCCAUACAGCAAAUAAAUGGUACAGCUGGGAUUUUAAUUCAAGCAGUCUGACAUUAAGACCCAAAUAGUUAACCCAGAACUUGUCCCUGUUCAAACAGCUGAGCUCCCAGAAAAGCCUCUUCAAUACAUACUCAGAUCUUUAGAGGAAGAAGAAAAAUCCCAACUAUAAACAGGAACCAAUAGUACAAAAUCCUCAACUCCUUCAAACUGCCACAGUAAUAAACAGCAGCGUAGCAGUGUACUAUCACUAGGAUAAAUAACCACUAUGUAAAGGAUUAUUAUUUUUAGGGAGACAGGCUAAAGCAACUGUAUUAAUCAUCUUUUUCUUCUCCCUCUAAGAAAGCCUUUCAUUAAUGCCUUGCUCUGGUAAAGGUUGAUAAAAAAUAAGCCAUUUUGAAAUUUGAAGCAAAGGUUGAUAAGCUACAAUUUGUGGGCCACAUCUGGCCCACCACCUGUUUUUGUAAAUAAAGUUUUAUUGGAAUACAGCCAUGACCAUUUGUUUACAUAUUGGCUUAGACUGCUUUUGCAGUGGUAAAUUUGAAUGCUUGGGACAGAUGGCCAAGAGCAAGGCGGAAGGAAAUAAUCCAGUACAAGAGUCCAGGUUGUAGGAUUAAGCUGUUACUGGCAACAGACCCAUCCUUCUGUCUAGGUAAGUCAUUGCAUGAUGUCAGGAAAAUGGUAUCAUAACUUCACAGAGAUUUUCACAGUUUACAAAAGAGUGUCACUCAGGCUGAAUUGAGACAGAUGGCCUUCCACUCACGGGUCUGUAUCUGCUUCAACCAUCCCCAGAACUACCCAAAGCCUGAACUGAUCACACAUACAUUCUCUUCUGCCAAAAGUCUCUUUGAAAAGAGGUGAUGCCGUCACACUUGACUCAAAAGUGUCUCUCCCAAAGCCACAUUGCCUCCCCACCCCGUCAUUCCUUUCAGAGUGGGGCAGCACCAUCCUUCCCUGUUUCCUCUGUAAAUCACCAACUUUUGAGCAACAACUCCAGUUGACACACACACAAUAAUAGCUUUUCUAAGUACUGAAGAAAGCAGCUCAGAUGGACAGGAAACUUCUUUAAAAGACCAACAUUAGUGGUGCUAAGUGGUAGCAGACUACUACCCUGCUUUAUGCAUUAUUAAAUGUCAGCCCCACUUUCUCAAGAACUCAGGAGCUAGGCAGUAAAAGGUCAGGAGAUGCCUCCCAUCAUAAAGCAUCACCCCUCAUUUCUGGGGACAGAAAAGUCAUCAAAUCUCAAACCAAAAAAGACAGCCCUGCUCUGUCCUGUUCAUCUGCUGCCCUGUGUAACCAUGGCCCUCAGGCCUGGAAACCUGGGACUUCACACACCAGUGUCUCAAACCAUCUCCCAGGAUAUUUCCAAACUAGCAGACAGAGCCAGUACUGACCCAGCAUUAUGAGUCUGGAAGAAGGCCAUACACAUGAAAGGAGAAGAAAACAAAAACCUCAAAGACAUGCUUUGGAGGCAGGAAACCUCCCCAGUUCAGGCAAGCAGUCAGCCUUUGUCAGAAGAGACAGGAGCAAAAGGGACAGGAGACACUGAGGGGCUCCCACUGUUAAAAGAUACACUACUUGGAGACAGUAAAAUCUUAUCUGCCUUUUUCUCUCAUUUUAAAAGAAAAGCUAGGCCUAGCUAGGCAGGUGUAGUGGCACAGAACAAAAAGCUUCUGCCGGUGAUUAUUUCCACCACCAACCAAAUUAAACUCCUUGAGUGCAAUGGCUAGGACCCUCAGUGUAUCCACACUGCCAAAGCAGAGGUCUAUAUGGUAUUUCCACUGGCAACGAAAUUGUUAAUGUUUCAUGCAACAAAUACUUUUUAAUCUCCAAAUAUAUUUAAAUACUGUUAUGCCAAGUUUGUUCAAGUGAGUUUGGGCAGUAGGGAAAGGGAAAAUUAAACCAGUUUCAGUUUAAACUUAGGAGGGAAACACAUAGUGGCUCAAUCAGAGUAUGUGUAGUACCUUAAACUAACUGCUGGUUAAACCUUCUGGAUGUCUACACACACAAACAAACCAAGGUGGAUUUAAACUCAGUUUGGCUGUAUCUGUUAAAAGAAACUAUAACAAUUACUAGAACAUGACCAAACAACAGUGUUGUAACAAUCAAGCAAGUUAUCAUUUGCAAAUAAAUUCUUUGUAAUUAA